rnacentral:rRNA from 1 species
AGCCCAAACCAGAAACUUGUUUCUGGGGUUGUGGAUAGAUCAUAAAAGAAGAGGUAUCUUAAUCGAAGAGGGCUGGAACGCCCUACCAUAGAAGGUAAUAGUCCUGUAGGUAAAAAGAGAAAACUUCGAGAUCUAAUCCAGAGUACCACGAGACACGUGAAACCUUGUGGGAAGCAGGGAGGACCACCUCCCAAGGCUAAAUACUACCUAGUGACCGAUAGUGAAGCAGUACCGUGAGGGAAAGGUGAAAAGAAC